CAAAAAUAUGUGCAUAUAUUUCUAUAAAUAUAUUCAUGUAUGAGAAUAUAUGCAACCGAAGGGCCACAUUUCGGUUAAUAUGUCUAUGUAUGUGACAUGGAUGUCAUCCUGCUUUACGUGACAUGUGUGUAACGUAGACUGCGUGUGUGGCAGACUGAAGGAUGGAUGGGAGGGAUUUGAUUUUUUUAUUGUACAAUCACUUUGUGCCUUGUGAUAUUUAUCUCACCCAGCUCAGAGGCAGGCGAUUAGCAGCUCAGAGGAAGGUAAAAUAACGCACUGUGUGAACCAAGCAUACAGGACAAUUCCAGUUUGGGACCUUGGAACCUUCUACGCCACCCUCUUCCACCAGGCCCCCAAGAAGUAGGGCUGUGACACGUGGCCAAGUCACUCCUCAGCUGAAUAUUCACUGAAGUCACUCCUCAGCCGAAAUACUGCUCAGAGCUGCUGCACGAUGAGUCUGGGGCCAAGGCUUUCUGCCCUUCCCAGGAUUCCAGGAGCCCCCAUGCACAGCACCUCGGGCUUGCCCAAAUGAUCCCCAAAACCAAGGGCAGAAAAUUUUUGGAAAAGGCCAAGUUCUGCUUUCCCAGAGCUAUCGGGCCUGCGAAACAGAGAGAAAAAAAGAUGGCUGCCCUCUUGUGGUGGAAAUGAGUUCGAACGCUUGAAAGAAAGAAGUCCAUAAAUAAAUAAAUAAAUAAAUAAGUAGUCUCCAGAGACUGAUUUGGGAUCGAAGUACAGGAUGACUGUACCUACCCGUUUUCCAGGGAAGAGCAAUAGUCAGAAAUGAUAAAUCUAAAUACAGACGAGCUAUUUCUUUUUUUUUUCUCUCUCUUCACUAAUGGCUACCUUCCACCUGCAACUUAGAAUGCUGGGUUAUUUAAUACUUUGGGAGAGUGUCUGUUUGCCUUGAAAAUAUCACUUGCAGCUAACCAUUGUCAAUUCUACCGUUUUCAAAGGUCCAUUCAAAGUUUUUCAGUUCAGAGGGUGAGAUUCAGUCUUGCUGAGUUUAUCAGACUUAGUGCAUCUGCCAGCAAAUGUGGAAGGGGCAGAGGUGGGAGUGGGGAGUUGUUUAAGAUAGGGAUAGUAGAAGUUGCAAAUUCAAAUGCAUCAGAGGGUACAGACAAGUUAUGUAAAAAAGCAAAGAUGACCAGAUAAUGAUUCCACAUAAAGGAGGUUGUUGCUAUUCCAUUUCAGUCAUCUCUUGGCAGUUUCUCAGGAGAUAGUGGAAAUUUGCAUUUGAUUGUGUGUGGACAAGACUCGGGAUGAAAUUAACUGCUUACAGUCAUACUUUAGCAAUUUUAGCACUUCAGCUCACAUGAUAUUCCAUUUUAUUGCAUUCUGUAGCUAUUAGCAUUCAGUAUUGUUCUUGCUAGGCCAAACAUUAUGCAAAUCAACAUUAAAAUAGUGAUCCCCAUGUAUUGUAAAGUUCACAGCAGGCAUUACGUGAUCCAUCUACCUUGUAAUUGUCAUUCCAUGGAAACCUGUGGCAACUGCCCUGAGAAACCCUCUUUGCUUUUUAGCAUACAUAUCGCUUUGUUACAAGGGUGACACCCAUAACCAUCCCUACUUACUUUACCUGGAUGAAGUUUUUUUUACAGGAACUUGGAGCCAAGGCAAAAGAGAAGCAUUUAGUCAAUCAAAUGUUUUCCUUUUUGGUGUUUGAUUAGACAUGGUAGAAAGGAUGGGAGAGGUGGAGUGAUUUAUAUCAGAAACUAGGCCAAGUUGGCCAAAUCAGGAUCACUGCUUUCAGCAAGUACCAACUACAUCUUCUUAAAAAUUAAAAAGAAUGAAUUUUGUGCAUUGAUUAGACUGUCACACAGUUUAAGAUGUACACCUUAAGUUAUGUCUGUAAACUAUGUUGAUAACACUCUAAGAUGUAGUUGGGUGACCUGGGUUCUAAUUCCUGGUUCUGUCAUGGAUGACUGACUUUAAAAUGGUCAUUUCAUCUGUUAAUUGGGGUAAAUAAAUAUAUGUUUGCUUGCUUCAGACUGACAUGAUGAAGGUCAAAUGGAUAACAUGUGUGAACUUAGUUUCUGAUUGCUACUCACUCUAUGUAUCUUCAAAUGUAUUCUUUGGCCUUCUGUCUGCAAUAUGGCCUGGUUUUAAGAAAUAGGACUUUGGAUGCCUUUCUUCUCCUCCUCUUUCUCCUCCUUCUCCUUCUCUUCUCCCAGCUUUUAUUAUAUUGCCAAACAGUGGAUAUUUCAUCAGAAAGGCCACCAGUUGGGUCAGUCAAUCUAAAGCAGAGGUCCCCAACCAUUUUGGCACCAGGGACCAGUUUUGUGGAGGAAAAUUUUUCUACAGACCAGGUUGGGGGUGAUGGUUUCAGGAUGAAACGGUUCCACGUCAGAUCGUCAGGCAUUAGUUAGGUUCUCAUAAGGAGCAUGCAACCUAGAUCCCUCAUACAUGCAGUUCACAGUAGGGUUUGA
rnacentral:lncRNA from 10 species